rnacentral:tRNA from 1 species
GCCUGGGUGGCUCAGUCGGUUGAGCGACGGACUUCGGCUCAGGUCACGAUUUCGUGGUCUGUGGGUUCGAGACCCGCGUUGGGCU